GUAUGCAGCCAUAUCACCCUGCAACUCACAACUGGCAACCCACUGAAGCUAAGCAGGUGUGAGCCUGGUCAGUACCUGGAUGGGAGACCUCCUGGGAAAAACUAAGGUUGCUGCUGGAA
ensembl:rRNA 5S_rRNA 5S ribosomal RNA